AUUAUUUUUGAUUUGUAAUGGAAAAUCACAAAGAUGUAGGCUCUUGAACUUGCAGAAUGACACGAAAUUUCACCGUAAUAAUCCUACGGGCAACAUUCUAAUAGCACUACCGCUUUCCUAAACGCCUUUCAAAGAGAUUUAAACACAGUAUUGGGCCAUUAAGUUAAGAUAUUAUACCACGCCCUCCCUUGCCGGCAGGCCGAGAUAGAAAAAAAAAACGAGGAACGCUGAAAUUGUACGAUCCAAAAACACAAAUCCCGCACAAAUCGAAUUCUCUGCUACGAUCAAAACAAAAAAAAAAUAAAAUAAAUAAAUAAAAAUAUUAAUGGUAAAAAGCAAGGAAUUCUA